rnacentral:rRNA from 1 species
GGGGAAUUUUGGACAAUGGGGGCAACCCUGAUCCAGCCAUGCCGCGUGAGUGAAGAAGGCCUUCGGGUUGUAAAGCUCUUUCGCGAGGGAAGAAAACGCAGCGGUUAAUACCCGCUGUGGAUGACGGUACCUUGAUAAGAAGCACCGGCUAACUACGUGCCAGCAGCCGCGGUAAUACGUAGGGUGCGAGCGUUAAUCGGAAUUACUGGGCGUAAAGCGUGCGCAGGCGGUUUUGUAAGACAGGCGUGAAAUCCCCGGGCUCAACCUGGGAAUGGCGCUUGUGACUGCAAGGCUUGAGUAUGGCAGAGGGGGGUGGAAUUCCACGUGUAGCAGUGAAAUGCGUAGAGAUGUGGAGGAACACCGAUGGCGAAGGCAGCCCCCUGGGCCAAUACUGACGCUCAUGCACGAAAGCGUGGGGAGCAAAC